GACGAACGCUGGCGGCGCGCUUAACACAUGCAAGUCGAGCGAAGCGGCGGACGGGUGAGUAACACGUGAGUAACCUGCCUUAGACCUUGGGAUAGUCUCGGGAAACCGGGAUUAAUACCAAAUGGUCUAAGAUGGACUCGCGUCCCAUUAGCUAGUUGGUGGGUAACGGCCCACCAAGGCGACGAUGGGUAGCCGGGAUGGGAGGGUGAACGGCCACAUUGGAAGUGAGAAACAGUCCGAACUCUACAGGAGGGAGCAGUGGGGAAUAUUGCACAAUGGAGGGAACUCUGAUGGAGCGACGCCGCGUAAACGAAGAAGGCGUUCGAGUCGGAAAGUUCGUUUAUAUGGGAAGCGGUACCAUAAGAAAAAGCCCCGGCUAACUACGUGCCAGCAGCCGCGGUAAUUC
rnacentral:rRNA from 1 species